ensembl:lncRNA
CAGUUUAUAGCUUGGGAUAGGCAGGCAUGAGCCCAUAAAAAUACAAUCUUUAAUCUUAAGGACUUCCUGUCCAUCCAGGCGUCAGAGCAGACCCAACGGCACCAAGCGAGCAGCGUGACCGGCCGUGGCUCCCAGGCUGGAUAAACAACCCUGAUUAAGAGGGACUUGACAUCAAGUAAAGGGAGGUUUCCAGGCUCCGCUGAUCAAAGCCCAGCUCCAGUGCUUGAGAUAACUUAGGUAAAACUGCCCUCAGAUAACCAUCUCUUCGGUUUUAACCUCUCUGUAAUGAAAGCGUGUGCUGCCUGAAAUUUUUCAACUCCUGAAUUCAUCUCUGGAGGAUUUGUGAUUCUCAUGUUGCAGGAAAAGUCGGGCAAAUUUGAUGAGUCAUUCUUUCUCUUAACUACUGAACAUUUGUGAGUCCAGCUUCAUACUUUCUAGCCUCGUGAUGUCGUUGGUAAGUGACAUUCAAGAAAUGAAAUAAGAGCUCCAGUCAAUGCUUGUUCAAGAAGAGCACAGGAGUUGCUCCACCAUGGAUCAACCAUGGAAAAAAAUGGACCCCAAGGGUAAUAAUACAGAAAUACUAGUGUUAAAGAGACAGAGAAAGGGUACUUGUGAGACGAAUACGACACAGCCCACCUUCGAAGGCUUGAAGGUUCCUUAUGUUAAUCUCCACUUGAGGUGUCUUACCAAGCCAAGCUAAGAGUGCUACUCAGCCCGGAUGAAUGAAGAAUAAUGCAUUUGGAAAAGAAUAACACCAAGGAGCCAAUAAGGAAGAUAACUUCAGACAGCUGUGGUGACAAAAACUGCAAAGGAGAGGUGCCGGUGAAUAACAAAUGCAGCGAAAUGGCAGGGGACCGGGCUCCACACAAGGUUAUGCAGCCCCUUGGGGAUUAUUCACAGACUUGGAGUGAAGAUCCCAUAAACAUUGGGAAUGCUCAGAACAGAACCACUCCCAGAGUCAGUGUCUCCAUUUCACACCACACGUGGGCCGCAUCCGCUGCUGUGAGGAUAGCACUGGCUCAGCACCAAAGUCCUUUGCCUACAUUUUUUAAAAAAGUAAAGUCAUUUGAAAAACUUGUGGUUACCAAAGGGGACGGGGUGAGGCAGGAAGGUGGGAGGGAUGGACUGGAGGUUAGGGAUUGGCACAUGCACACUGACGUAUAUGGAAUGACUGGCCAAUGGGGACCUGCUGCAUAGCACAGAGAACUUUACUCAGUAUUCUGUGAUGAUCGAUGUGGGGAAAGAAUCUGAAAGAGAGUGAAGGUGUGUACGCAUGUGUAACGGAGUCGCUUUGUUGUACAGCAGAAAUUAUCACAACAUUGUAAGUCAACUAUACUUCAAUAAAACUUACCAAAAAAGGAAAAUCA